UACGUAUGUCGCAAGCGUUAUCCGGAUUUAUUGGGCGUAAAGCGCGUCUAGGUGGUUUGGUAAGUCUGAUGUGAAAAUGCGGGGCUCAACUCCGUAUUGCGUUGGAAACUGCUAAACUAGAGUACUGGAGAGGUGGGCGGAACUACAAGUGUAGAGGUGAAAUUCGUAGAUAUUUGUAGGAAUGCCGAUGGGGAAGCCAGCCCACUGGACAGAUACUGACGCUAAAGCGCGAAAGCGUGGGUAGCAAACAGG
rnacentral:rRNA from 1 species